UAUUGGACAAUGGGCGCAAGCCUGAUCCAGCCAUGCCGCGUGAGUGAUGAAGGCCCUAGGGUUGUAAAGCUCUUUCACCGGUGAAGAUAAUGACGGUAACCGGAGAAGAAGCCCCGGCUAACUUCGUGCCAGCAGCCGCGGUAAUACGAAGGGGGCUAGCGUUGUUCGGAUUUACUGGGCGUAAAGCGCACGUAGGCGGACUUUUAAGUCAGGGGUGAAAUCCCAGAGCUCAACUCUGGAACUGCCUUUGAUACUGGAAGUCUUGAGUAUGGUAGAGGUGAGUGGAAUUCCGAGUGUAGAGGUGAAAUUCGUAGAUAUUCGGAGGAACACCAGUGGCGAAGGCGGCUCACUGGACCAUUACUGACGCUGAGGUGCGAAAGCGUAGGGAGCAAACAGG
rnacentral:rRNA from 1 species